rfam:Schistosoma rodhaini strain Burundi genome assembly, scaffold: SROB_scaffold0007088
AUCCAAUUGACCAGUCCCAAAUAAGACGAAACACGCUUCCUGGAU